GGCGGUCAUGCAGCCUUAGAGUAGAAUUGCCUCCUGGAAUCCCACACCUCAGCACAAUACGCACUGAGUGGCUGCUUCCCAAGAAAAGCCACAGAAAGGAAAUAUCAUUAGGGAAGUGUCCCUCCGUGGAGCCCGGCCUGGGCCUCGCCAAGGCUGCUGUGUCUAUUGUUGAACAGGAUGUAGCCCGCCUGCCAAGCGCCGCCCACAACCCUGCUCAGGAGGUUCAUGGCCAUGGUCCAAAGAGCUGAAGAUGCUGAAAGUUUUUCCUCCAGAAAAGUGAGCUUUUAAGCCUCACGCCCGCCUCUUCUUGUGCCCCACACCUGGGCAAGCUGAUGGGCAGCCCAAGUGUUCUCCCUCUAGCACCUGCAAGAGAUUCAAAACACCCAAUUUCCUGCUUCCUAUGGGAAUCCUCACCCAGGCCCACCCCCUAACCGCA